rnacentral:rRNA from 1 species
AGUGAACGCUGGCGGUAGGCCUAACACAUGCGAGUCGAACGGCAGCACAGUAAGAGCUUGCUCUUACGGGUGGCGAGUGGCGGACGGGUGAGGAAUACAUCGGAAUCUACUUUUUCGUGGGGGAUAACGUAGGGAAACUUACGCUACUACCGCAUAUGACCUACGGGUGAAAGCAGGGGAUCUUCGGACCUUGCGCGAUUGAAUGAGCCGAUGUCGGAUUAGCUAGUUGGCGGGGUAAAGGCCCACCAAGGCGACGAUCCGUAGCUGGUCUGAGAGGAUGAUCAGCCACACUGGAACUGAGACACGGUCCAGACUCCUACGGGAGGCAGCAGUGGGGAAUAUUGGACAAUGGGCGCAAGCCUGAUCCAGCCAUACCGCGUGGGUGAAGAAGGCCUUCGGGUUGUAAAGCCCUGUUGUUGGGAAAGAAAAGCAGCAGGUGAAUACCCCGCUGUUCUGACGGUACCCAAAGAAUAAGCACCGGCUAACUUCGUG